rnacentral:rRNA from 1 species
UUAUCCCUUUAGCAUUAAGCUCCAACCCAUGUGACAUACCUACUGUUGCUUCGGCGGGAUUGCCCCGGGCGCCUCGUGUGCCCCGGAUCAGGCGCCCGCCUAGGAACCUUAACUCUUGUUUUAUUUUGGAAUCUUCUGAGUAGUUUUUACAAAUAAAUAAAAACUUUCAACAACGGAUCUCUUGGUUCUGGCAUCGAUGAAGAACGCAGCGAAAUGCGAUAAGUAAUGUGAAUUGCAGAAUUCAGUGAAUCAUCGAAUCUUUGAACGCACAUUGCGCCCGCCAGUAUUCUGGCGGGCAUGCCUGUCUGAGCGUCAUUUCAACCCUCAUGCCCCUAGGGCGUGGUGUUGGGGAUCGGCCAAAGCCCGCGAGGGACGGCCGGCCCCUAAAUCUAGUGGCGGACCCGUCGUGGCCUCCUCUGCGAAGUAGUGAUAUUCCGCAUCGGAGAGCGACGAGCCCCUGCCGUUAAACCCCCAACUUUCCAAGGUUGACCUCAGAUCAGGUAGGAAUACCCGCUGAACUUAAGCAUAUCAAAAGGCCGGGAGAAAA